CUGUUAUAAAAGCGAGAAAUGUUAUUUGUUUCCCCUUCGUGUGAGGUGAACUCCCCGAUAAAAUUUUACAAAUGUUCGCUGUCGAUCCUGCACCUUCUCAUUCUUCUAAGUUCUCUAGUUCAAUUACGGUGAACACAGCGUCCCACUCAGGAGUUCGUUAAAGGAUGCCACUUUGAGUGUGACGUCUCAAUGUCAAGAUGGAUGACUGUAUUUUAAAAGUGAACCCGUCAUUAGAAGUGGGAUCUGUAUCAACUCCCACGUUUUCGAAACGACAGUGGCGUGUAAUCUUCGAGAUGCAAAAUCGAAAUUUAAUUGAGUUAGCAAAAACUAUGCAGGCUACGCACGUGCAUAUAAACAAAAUACUGCUGUCACCAUGGCCCCUUUACGAUGGCUGUCACGUUGCCUUAAUUUAACCGCUAGGGAUGGCAAAAAAAAGGUAUUCCUCGAUUAAUGUAUCAAUCAAAUGAUUAAUUGUAUGAACAAAAAAUUAAUUUCAAUUUCAAUUGCAAGAUAUUAAUCGAUUAAUGCCUUUUUAUUAUAUCUUUUUUUGAUGUUAAAAUAAUGAACUAAGUUCAUUUAAAAUUUUUGUAUUGAUUAUAACCGCAUAUAUUACAUAUUUCACUUGCAAUAAUUUUCAAGUACAACUGCAAAAACAGUAGUUUUGAAAGAUUUUUGGUUGUUAAGCUGCUUGGGUUUUCCGAAGCUAUUGCUCCAGCUCUAGAAAAUAGACGAUUCGCGGGAUAAGAUCUAAAACUUGGCAAUUUGAAUAAAAGCUGAAAAAAUGAAUCGUUAUUCUGCCUCCGCCUUUUGCUAUGAAUAAUUUCGUCUGCAUCCCCCAUUUCAUUUCUCAAAAAUCUCAUUGUUGAGGCAACAGCUUAAGGAUCUGCAAAAUGUAUUUUUUUAAACCGUAUGUCGAGUAUAGUUGAAGCCGCUCCUAAAAAUAAAUGUUCAAUAGUCUCAAAUUCA